CUGGCGGCGUGCUUACACAUGCAAGUCGAACGAUGAUCCCAGCUUGCUGGGGGAUUAGUGGCGAACGGGUGAGUAACACGUGAGUAACCUGCCCUUGACUCUGGGAUAAGCCUGGGAAACUGGGUCUAAUACCGGAUACGACCAUCUGGCGCAUGUCAUGGUGGUGGAAAGCUUUUGUGGUUUUGGAUGGACUCGCGGCCUAUCAGCUUGUUGGUGGGGUAAUGGCCUACCAAGGCGACGACGGGUAGCCGGCCUGAGAGGGUGACCGGCCACACUGGGACUGAGACACGGCCCAGACUCCUACGGGAGGCAGCAGUGGGGAAUAUUGCACAAUGGGCGCAAGCCUGAUGCAGCGACGCCGCGUGAGGGAUGACGGCCUUCGGGUUGUAAACCUCUUUCAGUAGGGAAGAAGCGAAAGUGACGGUACCUGCAGAAGAAGCGCCGGCUAACUACGUGCCAGCAGCCGCGGUAAUACGUAGGGCGCAAGCGUUAUCCGGAAUUAUUGGGCGUAAAGAGCUCGUAGGCGGUUUGUCGCGUCUGCUGUGAAAGACCGGGGCUCAACUCCGGUUCUGCAGUGGGUACGGGCAGACUAGAGUGCAGUAGGGGAGACUGGAAUUCCUGGUGUAGCGGUGAAAUGCGCAGAUAUCAGGAGGAACACCGAUGGCGAAGGCAGGUCUCUGGGCUGUAACUGACGCUGAGGAGCGAAAGCAUGGGGAGCGAACAGGAUUAGAUACCCUGGUAGUCCAUGCCGUAAACGUUGGGCACUAGGUGUGGGGGACAUUCCAC
rnacentral:rRNA from 1 species